rnacentral:tRNA from 1 species
GUCUGUCUGGUGGAAUUGGUUAGACACGGAAGACUUAAAAUCUUCUCCUUUGGGGUGCAGGUUCAAAUCCUGUGAUAGAUA